GGAGAGUUGGCCGAGUGGCUGAAGGCAACCGCCUGCUAAGCGGUUGUACUGGAAACGGUACCCCGGGUUCAAAUCCCGGACUCUCCGCCA
rnacentral:tRNA from 3 species